rnacentral:rRNA from 1 species
UCGAGCGGGGAAUAGCCCAGAGAAUUUGGAUUAAUACCCCAUAGUAUAUUGGAGUGGCAUCACUUUGAUAUUAAAGAUUUAUCACUUGAAGAUGGCUGUGCGGCUGAUUAGAUAGUUGGCGGGGUAACGGCCCACCAAGUCUGCGAUCAGUAACUGGUGUGAGAGCACGACCAGUCACACGGGCACUGAGACACGGGCCCGACUCCUACGGGAGGCAGCAGUAAGGAAUAUUGGUCAAUGGACGAAAGUCUGAACCAGCUAUGCCGCGUGGAGGAUGAAGGCCCUCUGGGUUGUAAACUUCUUUUAUAUGGGACGAAAAAGGGCCUUUCUAGGUCAACUGACGGUACCAUGUGAAUAAGCACCGGCUAACUCCGUG